AUUGAACGCUGGCGGCAUGCCUUAUACAUGCAAGUCGAACGGACGCACGGGCUUCGGCCUGGCGGCGCGUUGCCGACGGGCGAGUGAUUCACAGGAAGGUGACCAGCCGUUGGGGCUAGCACGGCGAAAGGCGGACGAAUAUCGCACACGACCAGAUGGUGAAAGCGGGGGAUCGAAAGUGCUAGCGGGAUUGGAGGGGCCGAAGCCGGAUUAGCUAGUUGGUGGGGUAAGGGCUUACCAAGGCGACGAUCCGUAGCUGAUCUGAGAGGACGACCAGCCACACUGGAACUGAGACACGGUCCAGACUCCUACGGGAGGCAGCAGUAGGGAAUUUUCGGCAAUGGGCGAAAGCCUGGUGCAGCCAUGCCGCGUGAGGGAUGAAGGCCUUCGGAUCGUAAACCGCUUUUAUUAGGGAAGAAAAAAUGUGUACUUAUAUCCGCGGGGGAUGACGGUACCUGAUCAGUAAGCACCGGCUAACUACGUG
rnacentral:rRNA from 1 species